GUACUCUAGCCUGGAUGACAGAGCAAGAUUAUGUCUCAAAAAAACAAAACAAAACAAACCCCACCAACACAACAACAAACAGAAAUAUCCCUCUGAGAUCUCAGGAACUGAUAGAUCAAAGAGGUCAAACUAAGGAACUAAUUACUCUGAUGAAUUGUGAAAGUAGUAAAUGAGACUGUCUUGUUCUGCAGUUCAAGAUAUGGUGCCAUCUUCAAUUCACUUUCCAGUGUGUGUCAUGCUUUUCCCCUGUAUUUAAGCACAUAUUUUCAGUUUUUCAAACUCAUCAUGAGUUCUCUUCUCUAUGGGCCUUUAUACAAGCUCUUCUCCACCUGGAUCUUUCUCCUCCCCAAGCCUUUUCUUGGCUAAUGGCUCCCAUUGCCCCUCAUCCUUCUCCUUAAGUGGCAUGUGAAAUUCUGUGUUUUAAUUGCCUGUUACUUUUUUUUUUCUCCCCUACUAGGCAAUAAACUUUGGAGGACUACGGCUAUGCCCUUCUCUUCAUUGCAGCACAGUGCCUGGCACGUGGUUUACUUCUUGAAGAAAUAAAUUAGUGAAGGAAUGAGUUAUGUAAAAAUGAAAUAUAACAGAUGGAGGGAUUAAUUCUACCUAAGGAAAAGGCUUCAUAGAAGAAAUGACCUUUGAGAAGAAACUUGGAAAAUGAGAAAGGACAAAGGUUGUUCCUGGUAGAGGGAACAGUGUGAACACACACCUGGAAGCUAGAGAGGGCGCAUCAUGGCAGGGAAUUUGAGUAGUCAAAAUGCUGGAGCAUUAGUGGCAGAAAUGAAGCAGAAAAUAGAGAUUGGGAUCUUUACAUAAACCCUGGAAUGCCAUGCUGAGGAGUGUAAACUUUAAUCUGCAAGUGAGGAGGUGUGAAAUGCCCAAGAAGCCAGUGCUGUGGGAAGGGGAAAAAUGAAGUCUUGUGGGUUUUGCAUCCAAUAACUCAAACUGGUGUAUGUAUCUCCAUCAGACAAUGGACUCACACCAUAAGUUGGGGCAAUGUCAAGCUGACACACAAAGCAUCAGUGACUUAGAAAAGCUAUACUGGUGGUGUGUGUAUGCAUCCUGUAUUCCUUGAUGCCACCUCUAGCAUGGCCACCAAAGGAAGUCUGAGUCUCAGUUCCCUCCUCUGUGGAAUGGUGAUGCAAAAAUAAUAAUUUUACCAAAAGCCAAGCAAAAAAAUGGAAGUUUCAGUGGAUUUCUCUCCAGCCUUCAUUGUGAGAACCUAGAGAUCGUGGAGAACUCACAAAAGCAUGAAGUUGCCCCUAUGAAUGGCCCCUCUGGAGUUUUUAACUCUCAGACCUGUCCACACCAAGGCUUCAGCAACUCUUCAGUUACAGCUUAGGUUUUCCUAACCUUUCCUGUGGAGGUUUCUGCUCAUGGAGUUCUGCUCUGGUAAGUUAUUAUUCUCUGUAACCAGCUGUCUGUCUCUCCAGCUUUGAGGGCAGCAGUUUGAUCUGACCUCACUUCUCUUGACAGAUCUAAGAAAAGUUAUUGAUUUUCAUUUUGUUCAGCUUUUUACUUGUUGUUAGGACAGAGUGAUGACUUCCAAGCUUCUUAACAUGUCAGACCAGAAAUGGGAAGUCUGCAUCAUUCUGUUUACCUUCCGGGGCCCUAAAAACAUAACAAAGCAAAUUUCUUGUCAGAAUCUGUGUGUCAAUGAUAUGGUUUGGAUCUGUGCCCCUGUUCAAAUCUCAUGUGGAAAUGUAAUCCCCUGUGUCGGAGGUGGGGCCUGCUGGGAAGUGAUUGGAUCACGGGGGUGGUUUCUCACGGUUUUACACCAUCUCCCUUGGUGCUGUCAUCCCAUAGUGAGUCCUCAUGAGAUAUGGUUGUUUUCAAGUGUGUGACAGGUGCCCCUUCUCUCUCUUGCUUCUUUUCUAGCCAUGUGAAGAGAUGUUCUCCUUUUACCUUCUGCUAUGAUUGUAAGUUUCCUGAGGCCUCCCAAGAAGUUGAACAGAUGCCACUGUGCUUUCUGUACAGCCUGUGGAAGUGUGAGCCAAUUACACCUCUUGUCUUUAUAAAUUACCCAGUCUCAGGUAUUUAUUUAUAGUAGAGCAAGAACUAAUACAGUUCAGUAGCGUUACAAAUUUAUUCUUCAAAAUGCCAUAUUUGCUCCAUAUAGCAGUAUAAAAAUAGAAAAUAAAAGCAUUUGGUAUAUCAAUAAUAAAUAAUAUUUCCAUGUAUCAGAAAUACAACAAACCCAUUGGGGGUUGGUUCUAGGACUUGCUGGCCUUUAUGUCUGAAAGGGAACAGGAGUUUCUUGAAACUAGGGAAUUGAAUGAAGCUCCCUUGGUUAAAAAACGAGUCUGGAAAGCUCCUUAGGGCUAUCACUUCUGUGAAGUUUUGUGCCCAGGAAAGAAACACACAACCAAAAUCUUAAGCAAGCCCCACACAUUUGCAGAUCAUCAAUACCUGCAAUACCACACAGCGUAUCGGGGAGAGAGGUAGUCGUGAGCCACCACUAGAAGUAGAAGUUGAGGGCUCUGAAAGGCCAGGUAGAAACAACCCCAAACCUGGAGACUGGCUGGAAAGGAUGAAAGAGAAAAAAAUGUCACCUAAGAUGAGCUGAAGUACACAGUCUAAAACAUGUGAAGAAGUCUAGUCUAAGAGAGACAGCCAACAUUUGUGACAAAUUCAGUUUAUGUAUAAUUAAAAUAACAGAAUAAGGCUGGGUGCAGUGGCUCAUGCCUAUAAUCCCAACACUUUGGGAGGCUGAGG